GCCACCGCAUACCACGCCGCAAGUCGCCACCGCAAGUCGCCUCAUGCCGCCGCCGCUCGCCCUUUCUCUGUAGAUCGCCAACGCAACCCUGGGCCCCAGGGUCGUUCCCUCCUCCCCACCAGGCUCGAGGAGGCGGCCACGAGGAGCGCGCAGCCGCCGCAAUCCUGGGCAGAUCUAGCCGGGGCCGUCGGCAGCCAUCCCUCCCUCCGGCCGGCCAUGAGGAAUUGAACCGGCUUGAGCAGAACUAGCGCAUGGACCAUGCGUGCCUCCCGCGCUAGGAGCCACCGGUCCUCGUCAUCUGCUAGCAUCCAGGAGGAAUCGAUCCAUAUAAUGUUUGCGGGGAGCUCGGUUAGUGUCAACACCUCAUGGAUUUAUGCAUAUCAGUUCAUUUUGCUUAAAGCUACUGUAAUGAUGCCUACUGGUUCCAGGGCCGUUGACGAGGAUGUGCGAGGUGGGCGACCGCACAGGGCCCCCAAAAAUUAGGGGGCUUCGAAUCCUGUAUAUGUGUUCUUUGUCACCAUGGAUCUGAGAGUGCCCGAACUGCUCGUUUCGUACAUGGUCACGGCUGACGGCCGCACCGAUACGAGCGGCAUCUUGGUUCCUUUGUGUGUCCUAGGGCGGCGAGGCCCAUGAUCUUGUACAUGGAGCAGUGCAGCAUCGUUGUUGUGCCUCUGCUGUCAUCCGUCACCAGAACAAGCAGGCAUGCACGUUUCCCUUGCCUGACGCAUUCCCAUAGUCCAUGUUUUGGAUCCAGAUUGAAGAGCAAACUCGUGCUACAGCAGCAACCCAGAGCAAAACUCUGAGCUCAGCCAGCAGGUCAACGAAUUACAAGAUCAACUACAAGCUGAACGCGCAAACACACAAGAGAGGAUUAACUUGGAGCGUGCUGAGAAAGAACAAUUUGGGGAGAGGUUAAAAGAAGAGCGUGCUGAAAGGGGAAUAUUGUUGGAAGAAGAGCGAACAUCAAGACUGUAAUUUGAAAAAAACAUGAUGGCAAAUUUUGCAAAAUUGAGCCAACAGAUGGGAACCAGUAGGUGCCAACGAAGAGGAUUAACAAAGAAAAUAGUAGUCUAAACUUGUAAAAUACUCUUUUUUAGAGAUCUAGUCCUAAUAAGACUCUAUGUGCAAGGCUAACUGUUAUUUCUUCAAAUGUGCUCAUACAAGCUGAAUAAGGAAUUCUCAAAUGUUUAAAGCAAUGGAUCAAACGAUCUAGCUCGACUCGACUCUAGAUCACGAACAGUUUAGUCUUGGCCCUUAAGUAGGAUGGCUAAAUUACAUUUGAGUAUCAUUUGAUGGAUAUUUGCUAUGAAAAUUAUGAAUCUACAUAUUAUAUGUAUGGUUUUGAAUAUUGUAAUUGAAUGCCUGUGUUUUUUUAUGGUUACAAUAGGCUAUUACCACAAUCCA